GACGGAGGAUGCAAGUGUUAUCCGGAAUCACUGGGCGUAAAGCGUCUGUAGGUGGUUUAAUAAGUCAACUGUUAAAUCUUGAGGCUCAACUUCAAAAUCGCAGUCGAAACUAUUAAACUAGAGUAUAGUAGGGGUAAAGGGAAUUUCCAGUGGAGCGGUGAAAUGCGUAGAGAUUGGAAAGAACACCAAUGGCGAAAGCACUUUACUGGGCUAUUACUGACACUGAGAGACGAAAGCUAGGGUAGCAAAUGGG
rnacentral:rRNA from 2 species